UAACAAGGAUUCCCCUAGUAACUGCGAGUGAAGCGGGAAAAGCUCAAAUUUAAAAUCUGUCAGUCUUUGGCUGUCCGAGUUGUAAUCUAGAGAAGCGUUAUCCGCGCUGGACCGUGUACAAGUCUCCUGGAAUGGAGCGUCAUAGAGGGUGAGAAUCCCGUCUUUGACACGGACUGCCAGGGCUUUGUGAUGCGCUCUCAAAGAGUCGAGUUGUUUGGGAAUGCAGCUCAAAAUGGGUGGUAAAUUCCAUCUAAAGCUAAAUAUUGGCGAGAGACCGAUAGCGAACAAGUACCGUGAGGGAAAGAUGAAAAGAACUUUGGAAAGAGAGUUAAACAGUACGUGAAAAUUGCUGAAAGGGAAACGCUUGAAGUCAGUCGCGUUGUCCAGGGAUCAACCUUGCUUUUGCUUGGUGUACUUUCUGGUUGACGGGUCAGCAUCAAUUUUGACCAUUGGAAAAAGAUCAGGGGAAUGUGACAUCUUCGGAUGUGUUAUAGCCCUUGGUUGCAUACAAUGGUUGGGAUUGAGGAACUCAGCACGCCGCAAGGCCGGGUUUUUAACCACGUACGUGCUUAGGAUGCUGGCAAAAUGGCUUUAAUCGACCCGUCUUGAAACACGGACCAAGGAGUCUAACAUGCCUGCGAGUGUUUGGGUGGAAAACCCGAGCGCGUAAUGAAAGUGAAAGUUGAGAUCCCUGUCGUGGGGAGCAUCGACGCCCGGACCAGACCUUUUGUGACGGUUCCGCGGUAGAGCAUGUAUGUUGGGACCCGAAAGAUGGUGAACUAUGCCUGAAUAGGGUGAAGCCAGAGGAAACUCUGGUGGAGGCUCGUAGCGAUUCUGACGUGCAAAUCGAUCGUCAAAUUUGGGUAUAGGGGCGAAAGACUAAUCGAACCAUCUAGU
rnacentral:rRNA from 1 species